rnacentral:rRNA from 1 species
AACGAACGCUGGCGGCAUGCCUAACACAUGCAAGUCGAACGAGAUCUUCGGAUCUAGUGGCGCACGGGUGCGUAACGCGUGGGAAUCUGCCCUUGGGUUCGGAAUAACAGUGAGAAAUUACUGCUAAUACCGGAUGAUGUCUUCGGACCAAAGAUUUAUCGCCCAGGGAUGAGCCCGCGUAGGAUUAGCUAGUUGGUGGGGUAAUGGCCUACCAAGGCGACGAUCCUUAGCUGGUCUGAGGGGAUGAUCAGCCACACUGGGACUGAGACACGGCCCAGACUCCUACGGGAGGCAGCAGUGGGGAAUAUUGGACAAUGGGCGAAAGCCUGAUCCAGCAAUGCCGCGUGAGUGAUGAAGGCCUUAGGGUUGUAAAGCUCUUUUACCAGGGAUGAUAAUGACAGUACCUGGAGAAUAAGCUCCGGCUGACUCCGUGCCAGCAGCCGCCGUAA